rnacentral:lncRNA from 1 species
UCUGUAUUAGGCAUUUCAGCACUGCAGUUUGUCCAGCCUGCAGGAACCUCCUGCUCCCGUUCACAUCACUCCCUGAAAACCAAGUAGCCACAUACGAAAGGAGUAUGAAAAGAAAGCCAGCGCAUCCUCUGAGUCUGUUGGCUAGCAUCCUGCAUGGCAUCUUUCAAUUAGCAUCCAAUCAUGUUAAGUACUGAUACUUGAGUGUUUGUGUAAGCCUGCCUGGUAGAAUUGAAGAUUCAGACAGCCAUUUUGCAAAACACAGCAGGUCCAUGAAAGAAGGGCUAUUUCUGCGAAAUAGUCACCAAAUGAGAAAGCUGCUGUAAAUGCUGGUGUUACUGCAACAGCUGUGUCAUCCAUCAAGUGAUUAUCAUCGACUCUUUUUCUGCAGCUGUUCAAAAUAGGCUUUACGGUAGCUUCGGCAGCUAUCUUUAAUGUGACAAACUCCGUGGUAUUUCUCUCUUAGAAAAAGAUAUGGUUUUCAUGCCAUAAUUCAAAGAGGAAUACAGGACUACUCUACGUCAAAGAGCCCAUCAACUGGUUUGAACUGGUCCAGACCUCUGAGACAAGGCACUGCCUACGCAAUCCCAGUACAAGCUAUUUCCCACCUUAUCCAAGUAACACAGCACUCGAGAUAGAGGAGAAUCAUCUCUGGAAAAAUUUCGGCAUCUCAGAGAUCUUAGGUGCCUGGAACACUCGUUGUACAAAUGAUUGAUUCUCUGGCUGAUCCUCAGCAAAGGGAUUAACAACAUCAGGAAAGAGGCAACAUGCACCAGACAGACACCAAUAGUAUUUCCAGCCCCCGGCUGCAAUUCUACAGCAACAGAAACUUACAUAGGACACCCGGGCUCGCCUCCGAUGCACCAGCCCACAGCACUGCAUGAAGAGCUGUGCAGAACGCAGUCAGCGCGUGGCUUCACCGAGCGGCUCUGAGCCUCCUCUUCUCAUCAGAGCCACUGGCCAUUUCUUCCCACCUUCUGCUCCCAGGUCUCUUAUAGCCCAGUCACACUGAGAGGAAUGCAAUCCAGCAAUAGAAAGUAACUGAACAUCAAAAGCCAGUCUUUUCAAGGGAGGCAAGAACAUAAAAUGGGAAAAAGAAAGUCUAUUCAGCAAGCAUUGCUGGGAAACCU